rnacentral:rRNA from 1 species
AAACAUGGUUCUUUGAAUAGAUAGAGAAUCGUACCUGCCCAGUGAUUAAAAAUUUAACGGCCGCAGUACCCUGACUGUGCAAAGGUAGCGCAAUCCUUUGUCUUUUAAUUGGAGACAUGUAUGAAUGGUCUGACAAGAAUAUAGCUGUCUCUUUUUGAAUGAUUAGAAAUUAGUUUCUAGAUGAAGAAAUCUAGAUUAAAUUAAAAGACGAGAAGACCCUAUCGAGCUUAAAUUUAAUAUUUUAAGUAAAUACUGGAUUAUUUAAUAAAUAAUAUAAUAAAACUAUGAAAGUUUAGUUGGGGCAACUUAGGAAAAGAAAAAUCUUCCUUACAUAAAUGUAUAACAUGUGGGUUUUGAUCCAUUAUUUUAAUGAAUUAGGCCAAGUUACCGUAGGGAUAACAGCGUAAUUUUUCUUGAGAGUUCUUAUCGAAAGAAAAGUUUGCGACCUCGAUGUUGGACUAAAAUAUCCUAAAGAUGUAGCCGUUUUUAAGGGUUGGUCUGUUCGACCAUUAAAAUUUUACAUGAUCUGA